AAAGAUAAAUAAAAUAAAUAUCUAAAUUUAAGUAUUUCAUUUACAAUGAUAAGAUGUUAUUUAAUUAACUUUAUU
rnacentral:tRNA from 1 species